rnacentral:lncRNA from 1 species
GGGGUGCCCAGUUUGCAGCACUUUCUUGGUAAAAGCAAACCUCUUUAAAGCAUGUCACAAUCGCUGCACACUUCAUUUUCUGCAGAAAAGGGGAAAUGCAACUGGACAUGCAGCUUAUUGGAAGAAGGUUUGGAAAUGAGGCAUGGAUAUGCAAAGGCUCGUCCCGCUGCUGUUAUAUUCCUGUCUAGAACUGCAGAGAAGAGACGUUGGGACUUGAAGAGUUGCACAUGCCAACACGCUCAGGGUUAUGUUAUCACUUCGUGGAAAGUCUUGCGCUGCUCUUAAAGUUCAUGAAAAAUCAUGUUUUCACCACCUCCGAGGGACCAAGCCAAACACUUGCCUUGUUUGGCUUUAAGGGAAUGGCUCCUUUGACGUGCAUGUGACAUGAAGACCAGCUUUUCAGCUUGGUAACGAGCAAGAAGUUUUUACUGAAUGUGUAAUGUCAGGUUUUGUCAGGUUUGUCUCAGUUUCCUUAUUUUGUUGACUAUUUUACAUUGCACCUCAGCCUCAAUUGGCCUCCAACUGUCUACAUUGCCCAGUGGCAUGUACUCUGGGAAGGAAGUUUGGUAUUACCUUAAGCACAUGUCAUAAAAGGUCGAGGCAAGAUUUGAGGAUAGGAAGUCCGGUUAUGAGAAGUCAAGUUUUAAAAGGUUAGAUCUUGGUGGUUGUCCUGAUCACUAGUGGUAUUGUGUUUAUUACACCACGUGGCUAAUGAAUCUUUGUUUCCAUUUAUUCAGAGUCAUGGAUGAGAUAACAGUCAUAAUAGUGCAUUAUAUUUAUACUUCCCUUUGUAUUUUCAAAGAAAUUUCAUAUUAUCAUUUCUUUUGGAGCCGGUUUGGUGAAGUGGAAAUAUGUUGGACUAAAGCCAAAUGAUCUGCAAAGACCAGCU